UAGAGACAGGGUUUCACCAUGUUGGCUAGGCUGGUCUCGAACUGCUGACCUGAAGUGAUCCGCCCACCUCAGCCUCCCAAAGUGCUGGGAUUAUAGGCAUGAGCCACUGCUCCUGGCUUCCUCCUAUAUCUCUUGAUCAAACUUCAGGGGAAAACCUGCCAGAUUCCCCAGGAAGGCUGCUUGGAGGUAUGCUGAGAGAAGUCUACAUUCCCAUGUGAAGCUACAACUAGAGUUGACUCCUCUAUUUGAGAUUGACAGGCCUAAGAAGUCAAAAUAAGUGGUUUCCUAGACCUGGUCGAGAGCAAGUCUCUAUUGGUCCCAACUGAGUUUUUUCAGCUGUUUUUUCAACCAAACAGCACCCCAUCUUCCAGUGAGGGGAAGGGAAGACUGGGCUGACAGCGGGAAGACUGGGCUGACAGCAGCAAGGCUGCUCAUUUCACCUCUCCCCAUCCAGCCAUGCCAGCCGCCACACCUGGUGGGGAGAGGUGGGCCUCACCUGGGUCCCCUGGCAGUGCUCUGUGAAGAGUCUUGACAUUGUACUGUCAUAAUAAAGGUGUAUGUGAAGUA